rnacentral:rRNA from 1 species
AUGCUGCUCACUGUCGUUUUGGUCGUUUUUCUGUUUUUUGUUGUUACGAAAAAGGGAGGUGGAAAGUCAGUGCCAAAUGCAUGGCAAUCCUUGGUCGAGCUUAUUUAUGAUUUCGUGCUGAACCUGGUAAACGAACAAAUAGGUGGUCUUUCCGAAAAUGUGAAACAAAAGUUUUUCCCUCGCAUCUCGGUCACUUUUACUUUUUCGUUAUUUUGUAAUCCCCAGGGUAUGAUACCCUUUAGCUUCACAGUGACAAGUCAUUUUCUCAUUACUUUGGCUCUUUCAUUUUCCAUUUUUAUAGGCAUUACGAUCGUUGGAUUUCAAAGACAUGGGCUUCAUUUUUUUAGCUUCUUAUUACCUACAGGAGUCCCACUGCCGUUAGCACCUUUCUUAGUACUCCUUGAGCUAAUCUCUUAUUGUUUUCGUGCAUUAAGCUUAGGAAUACGUUUAUUUGCUAAUAUGAUGGCCGGUCAUAGUUUAGUAAAGAUUUUAAGUGGGUUUGCUUGGACUAUGCUAUUUCUGAAUAAUAUUUUCUAUUUCAUAGGAGAUCUUGGUCCCUUAUUUAUAGUUCUAGCAUUAACCGGUCUGGAAUUAGGUGUAGCUAUAUCACAAGCUCAUGUUUCUACGAUCUCAAUUUGUAUUUACUUGAAUGAUGCUACAAAUCUCCAUCAAAAUGAGUCAUUUCAUAAUUGA